rnacentral:rRNA from 1 species
AUUGAACGCUGGCGGCAGGCCUAACACAUGCAAGUCGAACGAGUGGCGGACGGGUGAGUAAUGCUUUGGAAUCUGGCUUACGGAGGGGGAUAACGACGGGAAACUGUCGCUAAUACUGCGAACCAAAGGAUGAGCCCAAGCUGGAUUAGGUAGUUGGUGGGGUAAUGGCCUACCAAGCCGACGAUCUCUAGCCGGUCUGAGAGGAUGACCGGCCACACGGGGACUGAGACACGGCCCAGACUCCUACGGGAGGCAGCAGUAGGGAAUAUUGCGCAAUGGGGGCAAGCCUGACGCAGCAAUGCCGCGUGAAUGAAGAAGGCCUUCGGGUUGUAAAGUUCUUUCGGUAUUGAAGCGGUAGAUAAAGAGAAAGCACCGGCUAACUCCGUGCCAGCAGCCGCGGUAAUAC